rnacentral:rRNA from 1 species
AACGAACGCUGGCAGCAUGCCUAACACAUGCAAGUCGAACGAGAUCUUCGGGUCUAGUGGCGCACGGGUGCGUAACGCGUGGGAAUCUGCCCUUGGUUCGGAAUAACAGUUGGAAACGACUGCUAAUACCGGACGAUGACGAAAGUCCAAAGAUUUAUCGCCAGAGGAUGAGCCCGCGUAGGAUUAGCUAGUUGGUGUGGUAAAGGCGCACCAAGGCGACGAUCCUUAGCUGGUCUGAGAGGAUGAUCAGCCACACUGGGACUGAGACACGGCCCAGACUCCUACGGGAGGCAGCAGUGGGGAAUAUUGGACAAUGGGCGAAAGCCUGAUCCAGCAAUGCCGCGUGAGUGAUGAAGGCCUUAGGGUUGUAAAGCUCUUUUACCCGGGAUGAUAAUGACAGUACCGGGAGAAUAAGCUCCGGCUAACUCCGUGCCAGCCGCCGCCGUAA